UACAGAGGCCUCGAGCGUUAGGCGGAAUCACUGGGCUUAAAGCGUGUGUAGGCGGACUUCUAAGUACCUUGUGAAAUCCCACGGCUCACCCGUGGAACUGCUCGGUAUACUGGUCGUCUUGAGCCUUCUAGGGGCUACCGGAACAAAUGGUGGAGCGGUGAAAUGCGUAGAUAUCAUUUGGAACGCCAAUGGUGAAAACAGGUAGCUGGGGCUGUGCUGACACUGAGACACGAAAGCCAGGGGAGCAAACGGG
rnacentral:rRNA from 1 species